rnacentral:rRNA from 1 species
AUUGAACGCUGGCGGCAUGCUUUACACAUGCAAGUCGAACGGCAGCGCGGGCUUCGGCCUGGCGGCGAGUGGCGAACGGGUGAGUAAUGCAUCGGAACGUGCCCAGUAGUGGGGGAUAGCCCGGCGAAAGCCGGAUUAAUACCGCAUACGACCUGAGGGUGAAAGCGGGGGAGCGAAAGGCCUCGCGCUAUUGGAGGGGCCGAUGUCGGAUUAGCUAGUUGGUGGGGUAAAGGCUUACCAAGGCGACGAUCCGUAGCUGGUCUGAGAGGACGACCAGCCACACUGGGACUGAGACACGGCCCAGACUCCUACGGGAGGCAGCAGUGGGGAAUUUUGGACAAUGGGGGCAACCCUGAUCCAGCCAUGCCGCGUGCGGGAAGAAGGCCUUCGGGUUGUAAACCGCUUUUGUUCGGGAAGAAAUCCUCUGGGCUAAUACCCCGGGGGGAUGACGGUACCGGAAGAAUAAGCACCGGCUAACUACGUG